rnacentral:rRNA from 1 species
UGCAGUUGAGCGCUGAGGUUGGUACUUGUACCGACUGGAUGAGCAGCGAACGGGUGAGUAACGCGUGGGGAAUCUGCCUUUGAGCGGGGGACAACAUUUGGAAACGAAUGCUAAUACCGCAUAAAAACUUUAAACACAAGUUUUAAGUUUGAAAGAUGCAAUUGCAUCACUCAAAGAUGAUCCCGCGUUGUAUUAGCUAGUUGGUGAGGUAAAGGCUCACCAAGGCGAUGAUACAUAGCCGACCUGAGAGGGUGAUCGGCCACAUUGGGACUGAGACACGGCCCAAACUCCUACGGGAGGCAGCAGUAGGGAAUCUUCGGCAAUGGACGAAAGUCUGACCGAGCAACGCCGCGUGAGUGAAGAAGGUUUUCGGAUCGUAAAACUCUGUUGGUAGAGAAGAACGUUGGUGAGAGUGGAAAACUCAUCAAGUGACGGUAACUACCCAGAAAGGGACGGCUAACUACGUGCCAGCAGCCGCGGUAAUACGUAGGUCCCGAGCGUUGUCCGGAUUUAUUGGGCGUAAAGCGAGCGCAGGUGGUUUAUUAAGUCUGGUGUAAAAGGCAGUGGCUCAACCAUUGUAUGCAUUGGAAACUGGUAGACUUGAGUGCAGGAGAGGAGAGUGGAAUUCCAUGUGUAGCGGUGAAAUGCGUAGAUAUAUGGAGGAACACCGGUGGCGAAAGCGGCUCUCUGGCCUGUAACUGACACUGAGCUCGAAAGCGUGGGGAGCAAACAGAUUAGAUACCCUGGUAGUCCACGCCGUAACGAUGAGUGCUAGAUGUAGGGAGCUAUAAGUUCUCUGUAUCGCAGCUAACGCAAUAAGCACUCCGCCUGGGGGAGUACGACCGCAAGGUUGAACUCAAGGAAUUGACAGGGGCCCGCACAAGCGUGGAGCAUGUGGUUUAGUCGAAGCACGCGCAG